rnacentral:snoRNA from 1 species
AUCCCAUGAUGAGGACAGGCAUGAAUGUACUCCUAGAGACAUUCCCAUGCUUCAGGAAUCGUCUCAUCAACUUGUUGUUCAAAACUAGAGAUCUUUCCAUGAAGGGC